GCAGAACAGGGCGUUCCUACCUGCAGUUCCUCUACCAGCGCACCUGUUGACAGUUCUCUUCAAUCAGCCCGUCCCCGGGUGCUGACCUCUAUAAGACUGGCUUUUCCUCACCUUCGCUGCCAGGCUGUCCCUGCAACUUGUGGUUCAUUUGCUUGCUCCUGCCAGUCUGCUCUGCCCUGCUCCUGCUCCGGUGUAAGCCUGUAUGCUCCUGAGACUCACCUGUUGGAAAUCCUUUGUUCACUGAAAUCACACUCACCUGUCGCCUGUCAGUGUGGAUCACCUGCCUUAAAAGUCUUUUAUUAGUCAUCUGGUCAAGACCUACCUUGUUUUGUGAAAAUACCAGUAAUUAUUUUUUCAGUAAAGACUGUUUUGUGACUUUUA